GGGGAAUUUUCCGCAAUGGGCGAAAGCCUGACGGAGCAAGACCGCGUGGGGGAAGAAGGCUCUUGGGUUGUAAACUCCUUUUCUCUGGGAAGAACAAAAUGACGGUACCAGAGGAAUCAGCAUCGGCUAACUCCGCGCCAGCAGCCGCGGUAAGACGGAGGAUGCAAGCGUUAUCCGGAAUGAUUGGGCGUAAAGCGUCCGCAGGUGGCAGUUCAAGUCUGCUGUCAAAGACCGGGGCUUAACCUCGGAAAGGCAGUGGAAACUGAACAGCUAGAGUAUGGUAGGGGCAAAGGGAAUUCCUGGUGUAGCGGUGAAAUGCGUAGAGAUCAGGAAGAACAUCGGUGGCGAAGGCGCUUUGCUGGACCAUAACUGACACUCAGGGACGAAAGCUAGGGGAGCGAAUGGGAUUAGAUACCCCAGUAGUC
rnacentral:rRNA from 1 species